GCCCCCGUAGCUCAACGGAUAGAGCGUCACGUUGCGGACGUGAAGGCUAGAGGUUCGAGUCCUCUCGGGGGUACCA
rnacentral:tRNA from 1 species